rnacentral:tRNA from 1 species
GCAGUCGUGGCCUUAAAACGAUGGACUAGAAAUCCAUUGGGGUCUUCCCGCACAGGUUCGAAUCCUGUCGACUGCG